rnacentral:rRNA from 1 species
AGCCUUAAGAAAUAUUUAAGGUCAAGCCUGCCCAAUGUUAUAAUGAAUGGCCGCAGUACCUUAACUGUGCAAAGGUAGCAUAAUCAGUUGGCUUUUAAAUGGAGUCUAGUAUGAAAGGAAUCACGUAGUAGAGCUGUCUCAAUUUUGUUUACUUAAAUUUACUUAGGAGGUGAAAAUUCCUUUAUGUUGAAAAAAGACGAGAAGACCCUUAGAGUUUUAAUGAAGGUUUAUACAGUAAACUAAGUUUUUGUUGGGGCGACAAAGAAACAAGUAACUUUCUUUGUAUACCAGACGGUUUUUUCAAGUAAGAUUAAACUACCUGAGGGAUAACAGCAUAAUUCUUUAUAGAGUUUGUGACCUCGAUGUUGGACUAGGAACUUAUCAGGCUAGCCGCCUGCAUUUGUAGCUCUGUUCGAGCUAAUACUCCU